rnacentral:rRNA from 1 species
UUCCAGACUCCUACGGGAGGCAGCAGUGGGGAAUAUUGCACAAUGGGGGGAACCCUGAUGCAGCGACGCCGCGUGGGUGAAGGAGCACCUCGGUGCGUAAAGCCCUAUCGGCAGGGAAGAAACAGACGGUACCUGACUAAGAAGCCCCGGCUGACUACGUGCCAGCAGCCGCGGUCAUACGUAGGAUCCGAGCAUUAUCCGGAGUGACUGGGUGUAAAGAGUUGCGUAGGUGGCAUAAUAAGUAGCUAGUGAAAUCUGGUGGCUCAACCAUUCAGACUAUUAGCUAAACUGUUAAGCUCGAGACCGUUAGGGGUAACUGGAAUUUCUAGUGUAGGAGUGAAAUCCGUAGAUAUUAGAAGGAACACCAAUAGCGUAGGCAGGUUGCUGGGACGGUUCUGACACUAAGGCACGAAAGCGUAGGGAGCAAACGGGAUUAGAUACCCUGGUAU